rnacentral:rRNA from 1 species
GACGAACCGUGCGAACGUUGUUCGGAAUCACUGGGCUUAAAGGGCGCGUAGGCGGGUCGCCAAGUUUGGGGUGAAAUCCUCCCGCUCAACGGGAGAACGGCCUUGAAUACUGGCGAUCUCGAGGGGGAUAGGGGCAUGCGGAACUACGGGUGGAGCGGUGAAAUGCGUUGAUAUCCGUAGGAACUCCGGUGGCGAAGGCGGCGUGCUGGAUCCCUUCUGACGCUGAGGCGCGAAAGCCA